rnacentral:rRNA from 1 species
UACGUAGGGUGCGAGCGUUGUCCGGAAUUAUUGGGCGUAAAGGGCUCGUAGGCGGUUUGUCGCGUCGGGAGUGAAAACACGGGGCUUAACCCCGUGCCUGCUUCCGAUACGGGCAGACUAGAGGUAUGCAGGGGAGAACGGAAUUCCUGGUGUAGCGGUGAAAUGCGCAGAUAUCAGGAGGAACACCGGUGGCGAAGGCGGUUCUCUGGGCAUUAACUGACGCUGAGGAGCGAAAGCAUGGGGAGCGAACAGG